rnacentral:lncRNA from 1 species
AUUUAUUACAUAAGAUGUGGAAGGUUUCUGGUUAAGAGCUUUUAAGGACCUACCGAGGCAGAGAAGUCUAGAAAGCUCUCUCUUCAAAUAAACAUCUCUGUGAGUCAUCUGCACCCACCUCAGCUAUUUUGAGUUUUGUGCACCUUGGUUUGCAGAGGCUCAUAAAAAUGCAUGAGUUUCCAGCCUCACAGGUGAGGGCAGAGGUUUCCAAAGAGCAAAGUGGGUUCUGCCUGAGGUAGAGUCAGUAAUCAGUGUUGUUGGCCUUUGGCUCUAUCCACCUUGCCUGCUCUGAGGAGGUCUGUAGUGCGAAUGGAGACACAGACAUGCCUUGUGGUUCCUGUAUUCCAAGAAGAAAGGUUCUCUGCAGGCUCACUCUCCAACCUCCUUUUCCAGCAGGUACCAGAGUCCGUGAAACAAAGCAGUCUGAGGUCUUGGUCUCUUUGGAGUGUUUUCGAGAGAUCUGCAGUUGUCCUGGGUAAGUCAGGCCACGUAGUGGAAGACACGGGAGAUUCAGCUUGGAGCUGUCAGGACCAUAGCAGACUACUAAGGUGCCUUUAUAUAUAACUAGGUAUUCUCCAGGGCGUGUGUGUGUGUGUGUGAAAAUGGGACUGGAUCAAAUUUCGUUUGGGAAAUUCUGCAUUAAAAACCUGCAUUAAAAAAAAAAACUUGCAUUAAGAGACAGGUUUCUUCAGCCUUUAAUAUUGAGAUUUUAUUGUGAAUCUCUUCAGAGGGGUACAUAAUAAUAGGAAGCUUUUCCCAAGCAUCUUUGACCUGGGAAUUCUUCCUCACUGGGAAUCUCUAACAUUUCAAAGGGCACUAAAAUUCCACAAAACCCAGUUUGGGAGAAUGCCGUUUGGAGAAGUCAGAGAAGCCCCAGCUGUCCAGGGUCACCAGCUCCAGUGACACUCAGGUCCUAGCCCAAUGGGCUUCACAUUUGGAGACCUACCUAGUGGGAAUUAACACAAAGGUUUGCUAAGAGUACAUAAAUGCAAGGAUUAAAAAAAAAAUUCUAGGUCCACCACUUCCAUGGGCACAUUUGCCUCUAAUUGCUCUGCAGAGAGCCGGGUGGCAGUGAGCCAUUCCUGCAGGAUGUGGAGCCUCUUUUCUGUUCUUCUUGCACACUGGCUGCCCUUCUUAUGAUGCUCCAUUGCCCCAGGAUACGCAGCUCUCUGGGGUGCCUGAC